GAAUGAACGUUGGCGGUGUGGAUUAGGCAUGCAAGUCGUGCGCGAAAUGUAGCAAUACAUGGAGAGCGGCGAAAGGGAGAGUAAUACAUAGGUACCUACCCCCGGGUCUGGGAUAGCGGCGGGAAACUGCCGGUAAUACCAGAUAAUGCCUCCGGACCAAAGGUGUGAUUCCACCGUGGGGGAGGGGCCUGUGGCCUAUUAGCUUGUUGGCGAGGUAACGGCUCACCAAGGCAAAGANGGGUAUGGGGGCGUGAGAGCGUGCCCCCACUCACUGGGACUGAGAUACUG
rnacentral:rRNA from 1 species